UUGUAGCUCAGUGUGAAGGCCUUGGCUUCAAUCCUAUCACCACCAAAAGGGAAGAAGGUGGACGCACACGCCAAAAAGUUAAAAGUUCCUGGUCUGUAACUCUACAGUUUUCCGCUGAAGUAUUGGUUCUCGCCAGACAUUAGCCUACUUGUGCUGGAGUGACCUGAAAGGGGGCUGACCAAAAAGGAGAUGGAAACUAGCAGGAAGGACAAAAUUGCUUUGAAGAUUCAGUGUUUUGCAUUGAUAAAUUUUUUUUUUUAAUAAAGGGCCAUGUGAAUUUUGCAAUGUGCUUCGUAAUUUAUCCGUGCUUGUUUACAUUUUGAGUUUAUUUUUUCUUUGACCUCAUAUUUACUCCUUAUUCAUCCAAGCAUUUUUCCUUAUAAUGGGCAAUUACCUAUUUGGGAAUUUGGGCGGCUUUGUUUUAUCAUUGUACCUCCCAAACAAAACUAAGUUCCAUGAAGAAUAAAACAUUCUGAAGUAUUUAUCAAUGUAUUUUAAGAAUAUAAAAUACUAAGCUUAUAUUUACAAUCAUAAAAGAUAAGAGAAGGCUGGAGAGAAUAAUUAUAAACUAGAUACCAUAAAGAUACAGAAAUAGUUAACAUCAACCAGAUUGAGUUCUGAAAGCUGGGAAGUCCCAGAUUCCGGUGCUGGCAGAUCUGGUGUCUGGGAUUGAACUCAGGACCUUGCACUUGCGAGGCAGCGGGCAGCAACACUAAGCUAAAUUCUGACCCAGAAAGCAUCUUGGUCUGUGGCAUUUAUGUUGUUACAGGUACCAUCCUAGGAAUAAAAGAAGAAGUAGUAUUUCAAGAGAAACCACAGACAAGAUUGCAGCAAUAAGGAGAAAUCACAUGACAGGAAAGAAUUUGGCAGCAGUUUUCAUGGCUUUGAGAUUGGACAUAAAAUACAAUUAUUCUCCUUAAAUAUAACUAGAUUAUGUCAAACCUUGAGAAAGCCUAACCCCAUGAAUGGGCAAAGCAAAUGCUAAACACUUUAAAUGGAUGUUUAAAAUGAUAGCCUCAAAAGCUUGAGGGCUCUGAAACAUACAUGUGGAAAUACACAAGUUAUAUUACAUUGAUUAUAUUAGAAUUACAAGUAUACCACAAUAUAUAUUAUAAUUAUCCUAAAUUAAUCUUAGUAAAAUUUUAUUGUCUUGAAAAUUAAAAACAUCAAAGGUGUCUAAAGGGAGGAGCAACUCUUUUCACUUAAAAAAAUCUGCAAAUUUUGACCAAAAGUAUAUAAAAGAUGACCUUAAAUUUUAAAAGGAAAUCUUACUGAUCAUCAAAGAAAUGUAAAUUAAACCUAUAAGAUAUCACAUCACAUCUGUUAGAAUAGCUAUUAUCAAAAAGGAAAAAAAUAACAAGAGUUAGCAAGGAUGUGGAGAAAAGAGAACCUUGCAUUUCUGUUGGCAGGAGUGAAAUUAGACAGUCAUUAUAGAAAAUGGCAUGAAAGUUCCUCAAAACACUGAAAACAGAACUACUAUAUGAUCCAGCAAUCUCUUUGGUGGGUAACAGAUACCCAAAGGAAAUGAAAUAAAUAUAGCAAAGAGAUAUCUCCAUUCCCACGUUGAUUGCAGCACUAGUCACAAUAGCCAAGAUGAAUAGUCUGAGCGUCCAUCAACAAGUAAAUGGAUUUUUAAAUAUGACACAGCCUAAUACUGUUUAUUCUUUAUAAAGAAGAAAACCUUGUCACUUGCAAAAGCGUGAAUGAACCGGAGGACAUAUGCUAAGGGACAUAUGUCAGGCACAGAAUGACAAAUACCACAUGAUCUCAUUUACAAGUAUACUAUAAAAAAAUUGCCUCAGAGAAACAGAGAAGAAUGGUGAUUACCAAAGGCUGAGGAUGAAGGUGAAAGAGUUUUGGGCAGAUGCUGGUCAAAGGACACAAAAUUUCACUUAGAAAAAUAAAUUUAGC